rnacentral:misc_RNA from 1 species
UUUGUUUAUACAACAUAGAAUAAUAUAUAUCUUUGUUUAAUCCAUGUCAAUAUAUAUUUUAUUUUUUAUAUUAUUCGAAUAAAACAUUCAAAAACAUGAACAUCUAAAAACAUAAAAAAUAAAAUCAAUGUUUAAAGUAUAAAAUAAAAACCCUGGCAAUAAC